rnacentral:lncRNA from 1 species
GAAAGAGAUAUAAAGCUGCUAUUAAAUAUUGGAAAAGCCAGAAAAAUACUCUGCCAUCCAGGUUGCAGUGCGAUGGUGUGAUCAAUGCUCAUAGUAGCUUCAAACUCCCAGGAUCAAGUGAUCCUCCUAAAUAAACCUCCUGAGUAGCUGGGACUACAGCUUCCACCAUGGGAUGAUACAGCAUGAAGGCCCUCACCAGAUAUGCGCCCCUUGAUUUUGGACUUCCCGGACUCCAGAACUAUCUCUGUGACUACUCUGUGAAUUGGUCUGUACAGGCCCACUUGAGUACAGAUGAGCCAUUUCAGCUAAGCCUACAAGAAACUUCCAGCUAAACCUAGCCCAAAUUGCCAACUUGCAGAAUUGUAAGCUAAAUAAAUGACUGUAAGCCGU